UACGUAGGGUGCGAGCGUUAAUCGGAAUUACUGGGCGUAAAGCGUGCGCAGGCGGUUUUGUAAGACAGAUGUGAAAAUCCCCCGGGCUUAACCUGGGAACUGCAUUUUGUGACUGCAAAGACUAGAGGUGUGUCAGAGGGGGGGUGGAAUUCCACGUGUAGCAGUGAAAUGCGUAGAGAUGUGGAGGAACACCGAUGGCGAAGGCAGCCCCCUGGGAUAACACUGACGCCUCAGGCACGAAAGCGUGGGGAGCAAACAGG
rnacentral:rRNA from 1 species